rnacentral:rRNA from 1 species
GCCAAAAACCUAGCCCCAAACUGCCUCCGGCCUCAACAAAUUACAACUAUGAACUAAAACAUUCAUUAAAUCUAGUAAAGGCGAUUGAAAAAUAAAUUGGCGCGAUAUAUCGAGUACCGCAAGGGAAAGGUGAAAUAUAAAUGAAAAUCUUCAAGCACAACAAAGCAGAGACUAUUCCUCGUACCUUUUGCAUCAUGGUUUAACUAGUCUACCCAAGCAAAAAGACUUAAAGUUUGACUUCCCGAAACUAAGCGAGCUACUUCAAGGCAGCCUAACGGGCGACCCCGUCUCUGUUGCAAAAGAGUGGAAAGACCUUCAAGUAGAAGCGACAUACCUAU